CCUCCUACGGGACGCAGCAGUGGGGAAUAUUGCACAAUGGGGGAAACCCUGAUGCAGCGACGCCGCGUGAAGGACGAAGUAUUUCGGUACGUAAACUUCUAUCAGCAGGGAAGAAAAUGACGGUACCUGACCAAGAAGCCCUGGCUAAAUACGUGCCAGCAGCCGCGGUAAUACGUAUGGGGCAAGCGUUAUCCGGAUUUACUGGGUGUAAAGGGAGCGUAGGCGGUACGGCAAGUCAGAAGUGAAAGCCUGGGGCUCAACCCCGGAAUUGCUUUUGAAACUGUCGAA
rnacentral:rRNA from 1 species